rnacentral:rRNA from 1 species
GUGCCAGCCGCCGCGGUAAUACCCGCAGCACGAGUGGUGGUCAUUAUUAUUGGGCCUAAAGCGUCCGUAGCUGGCCUGCUAGAUGCCUGGGUAAAUCGAAGCGCUCAACGUUUCGAAUUCCGGGUAGACCGGCAGGCUCGAGACCGGGAGAGGUGUGGGCUACUCGAGGGGUAGGGGUAAAAUCCUGUAAUCCUUCGGGGAGGACCAGUGGCGAAGGCGCCACACUUGAACGGCUCUGACAGUGAGGGACGAAGCCCUGGGGCGCAAACCGGAUUAGAUACCCUUGUAGUCC